GUAGGGAAUAUUGGGCAAUGGAUGCAAGUCUGACCCAGCCAUCCCGCGUGCCGGAAGAAGGCCCUCAGGGUUGUAAACGGCUUUUGACGGUGAAGAAUCGACUGGAUGCGUCCUGUUUUGACGGUAGCCGUUGAAUAAGCACCGGCUAACUCCGUGCCAGCAGCCGCGGUAAUACGGAGGGUGCGAGCGUUGUCCGGAUUUAUUGGGUUUAAAGGGUGCGUAGGCUGGAAGGUCAGUCAGCGGUGAAAAGCUGUCGCUUAACGAUAGUCUUGCCGCAGAUACUUCCUUUCUUGGAUGAGGAGGAGGCCACUGGAACGGAUGGUGUAGCGGUGAAAUGCAUAGAUAUCAUCCAGAACACCGAUUGCGAAGGCAGGUGGCUGUACCUUAAUCGACGCUGAUGCACGAAAGCAUGGGGAGCAAACAGGAUUAGAUACCCUUGUAGUCC
rnacentral:rRNA from 1 species